rfam:Bipolaris zeicola 26-R-13 unplaced genomic scaffold scaffold_38, whole genome shotgun sequence.
CAUUGAACAACGCAAAAAAUUUGCACACUCACGAAAAGCAUUUUCAUUGGAGAGACCCGUCGUCUACGGACGGUGUGAGGUUUCCAUGAGAACGAAAACCGUCUGUGAAGUGGAGAGGAAUACAGUGGCUGAUCUUGGGUGCGGUUUCUCCCUGCUUUUGCAGUGGGAGAGAGCGCAAUGAUCGGUCGUACAU